rnacentral:tRNA from 1 species
GCCACGGUGGUCUAGCGGUUAGAACGCUGGCCUUGUAAUCCUUGGGGGUCUCGGGUUCGAUUCCCGGCGGUGCCC